rnacentral:rRNA from 1 species
AGCUCCAAUAGCGUAUAUUAAAGUUGUUGCAGUUAAAAAGCUCGUAGUUGAAUUUUGGACACAGCCGAGCGGUCCGCCCUCGGGUGAGCACGGCUUGGCUGGGUCUUUCCUUCUGGGAACCAGCGUGCUCUUAAUUGAGUGCGUUUGGGGAUCCAGAACUUUUACUUUGAAAAAAUUAGAGUGUUUAAAGCAGGCUUACGCUUGAAUACAUUAGCAUGGAAUAAUAGAAUAGGACUUUGGUUCUAUUUUGUUGGUUUCUAGGACCGAAGUAAUGAUUAAUAGGGAUAGUUGGGGGCAUUAGUAUUUAAUUGUCAGAGGUGAAAUUCUUGGAUUUAUGAAAGACUAACUUCUGCGAAAGCAUUUGCCAAGGAUGUUUUCA